AUACUUAUCUAACAGGGGAAAUACCUUGGUCGAUAAAAGGGUUUAUUCUGAAGGUGAGGUUUAUCUGUUGCACUCAGGAUGUGCUGUUUUCUGUGGUUUUUCCCAGCGUGAGCAGACUCGGUUGUACAAUUUGUGAUAGUGUGGAACUGUGUCCGCACUUUAUCCUG